GGGCUACCAUGCNAGUCGUACGAGAAAGGGAUUGCUUGCAAUCCUGAGUAGAGUGGCGCACGGCCUGAGUAACACGUAGAUAAUCUACCUUCAAGCCUGGAAUAACUGUUCGAAAGGGCAGCUAAUACCGGAUAAAGUUAAUUUGCAUAAGUGAGUUAAUGAAAGAUUGCCUCUUCUUGAAAGCAAUCGUUUGGAGAUGAGUCUGCGGACCAUUAGUUUGUUGGUGGGGUAACGGCCUACCAAGACUGCGAUGGUUAGCUGGUCUGAGAGGAUGAUCAGUCACACUGGAACUGGAACACGGUCCAGACUCCUACGGGAGGCAGCAGUGAGGAAUUUUGCGCAAUGGGGGAAACCCUGACGCAGCAACGCCGCGUGAGUGAAGAAGGCCUUUGGGUCGUAAAGCUCUGUCAACUGGGAAGAAGUUACAAUUAUCUAAUAGGUGGUUGUAUUGACGGUACCAGUGGAGGAAGCGCCGGCUAACUCCGUGCCAGCAGCCGCGGUAACACGGGGGGCGCAAGCGUUAUUCGGAAUUAUUGGGCGUAAAGGGCGCGUAGGCGGUCUUGUCGGUCAGAUGUGAAAGCCCGGGGCUCAACCCUGGAAGUGCAUUUGAAACAGCAAGACUUGAGUACGGGAGAGGAGAGCGGAAUUCCUGGUGUAGAGGUGAAAUUCGUAGAUAUCAGGAGGAACACCGAUGGCGAAGGCAGCUCUCUGGACCGAUACUGACGCUGAGGCGCGAAGGCGUGGGUAGCGAACAGGAUUAGAUACCCUGGUAGUCCACGCAGUAAACGUUGUACACUCGGUGUCUCGGAUAUUAAAAUCUGAGGUGCCCAAGUUAACACAUUAAGUGUACCGCCUGGGGAGUACGGUCGCAAGACUAAAACUCAAAGGAAUUGACGGGGGGCCCC
rnacentral:rRNA from 1 species